AUUGAACGCUGGCGGCAUGCUUUACACAUGCAAGUCGAGCGGCAGCGCGGGGGCAACCCUGGCGGCGAGCGGCGAACGGGUGAGGAACACAUCGGAACGUGCCCCGGAGUGGGGGAUAACGCCGCGAAAGCGGCGCUAAUACCGCAUAUGCUCUGAGGAGGAAAGCGGGGGACCAGCAAUGGCCUCGCGCUCUGGGAGCGGCCGAUGUCCGAUUAGCUAGUGGUGGGGUAAUGGCCCACCAAGGCGACGAUCGGUAGCUGGUCUGAGAGGAUGAUCAGCCACACUGGGACUGAGACACGGCCCAGACUCCUACGGGAGGCAGCAGUGGGGAAUUUUGGACAAUGGGGGCAACCCUGAUCCAGCCAUGCCGCGUGC
rnacentral:rRNA from 1 species